rnacentral:rRNA from 1 species
UAGGGAAUCUUCGGCAAUGGACGGAAGUCUGGCCGAGCAACGCCGCGUGAGUGAAGAAGGUUUUCGGAUCGUAAAGCUCUGUUGUAAGAGAAGAACGAGUGUGAGAGUGGAAAGUUCACACUGUGACGGUAUCUUACCAGAAAGGGACGGCUAACUACGUGCCAGCAGCCGCGGUAAUACGUAGGUCCCGAGCGUUGUCCGGAUUUAUUGGGCGUAAAGCGAGCGCAGGCGGUUAGAUAAGUCUGAAGUUAAAGGCUGUGGCUUAACCAUAGUAGGCUUUGGAAACUGUUUAACUUGAGUGCAAGAGGGGAGAGUGGAAUUCCAUGUGUAGCGGUGAAAUGCGUAGAUAUAUGGAGGAACACCGGUGGCGAAAGCGGCUCUCUGGCUUGUAACUGACGCUGAGGCUCGAAAGCGUGGGGAGCAAACAGGAUUAGAUACCCUGGUAGUCCACGCUGUAAACGAUGAGUGCUAGGUGUUAGACCCUUUCCGGGGUUUAGUGCCGUAGCUAACGCAUUAAGCACUCCGCCUGGGGAGUACGACCGCAAGGUUG